AGAGUUUGAUCCUGGCUCAGAAUCAACGCUGGCGGCGCGCUUAACACAUGCAAGUCGAGCGAGAAAGUGGAGCAAUCCAUGAGUAAAGCGGCGCACGGGUGAGUAACACGUGGAUGAUCUACCUUCUGGUGGGGAAUAACCUGGGGAAACCUGGGCUAAUACCGCAUAAGUCCGAGAGGAGAAAGCCGAAAGGCGUCAGAAGAGGAGUCCGCGGCCGAUUAGCUAGUUGGUGAGGUAAGAGCUCACCAAGGCGACGAUCGGUAGCCGGCCUGAGAGGGCACACGGCCACACUGGCACUGAAACACGGGCCAGACUCCUACGGGAGGCAGCAGUGGGGAAUCUUGCACAAUGGGGGAAACCCUGAUGCAGCGACGCCGCGUGAACGAUGAAGCCCUUCGGGGUGUAAAGUUCUUUCGGCAGGGACGAUUAUGACUGUACCUGCAGAAGCAGCUGCGGCUAACUACGUGCCAGCAGCCGCGGUAAUACGUAGGCAGCAAGCGUUGUUCGGAAUUACUGGGCGUAAAGAGUGCGUAGGUGGUUGACUAAGUUUGGUGUGAAAUCUCCCGGCUUAACUGGGAGGGUGCGCCGAACUGGUUGGCUAGAGUGUGGGAGAGGGAAGCGGAAUUCCGGUGUAGCGGUGAAAUGCGUAGAUUCUGGAGGAACGCCUGCGGUGUAGACGCUUCCUGGACCAUGACUGACACUGAGCACGAAAGCGUGGGUAGCACAGGAUUAGAUACCCUGGUAGUC
rnacentral:rRNA from 1 species